UACGAAGGGGGCUAGCGUUGCUCGGAAUGACUGGGCGUAAAGGGCGCGUAGGCGGCUUGUAUAGUCGGAUGUGAAAUCCCCGGGCUCAACCCGGGAACUGCGUCCGAUACUGGUGGGCUUGAAUCCGGGAGAGGGAUGCGGAAUUCCAGGUGUAGCGGUGAAAUGCGUAGAUAUCUGGAGGAACACCGGUGGCGAAGGCGGCAUCCUGGACCGGUAUUGACGCUGAGGCGCGAAAGCGUGGGGAGCAAACAGG
rnacentral:rRNA from 1 species